AGAGGGUGCAAGCGUUAAUCGGAAUUACUGGGCGUAAAGAGUGCGUAGGUGGUUAAAUAAGUUGGAUGUGAAAGCCCCGGGCUUAACCUGGGAAUGCCAUUCAAAACUGUUUAACUUGAGGAUAGGAGAGGGAAGUGGAAUUUCCGGAGUAGCGGUGAAAUGCGUAGAUACCGGAAGGAACACUCGUGGCGAAGGCGGCUUCCUGGCCUAUAUCUGACACUGAGGCACGAAAGCGUGGGGAGCGAACAGGAUUAGAUACCCUGGUAGUCCACGCCGUAAACGAUGAAGACUAGCCGUUGGCCCCCUUAAGGGGUUAGUGGCGGAGCUAACGCAUUAAGUCUUCCGCCUGGGGAGUACGGCCGCAAGGUUA
rnacentral:rRNA from 1 species